rnacentral:rRNA from 1 species
UGGGGAAUAUUGGACAAUGGGCGAAAGCCUGAUCCAGCCAUGCCGCGUGUGUGAAGAAGGUCUUCGGAUUGUAAAGCACUUUAAGUUGGGAGGAAGGGUUGUAGAUUAAUACUCUGCAAUUUUGACGUUACCGACAGAAUAAGCACCGGCUAACUCUGUGCCAGCAGCCGCGGUAAUACAGAGGGUGCAAGCGUUAAUCGGAAUUACUGGGCGUAAAGCGCGCGUAGGUGGUUUGUUAAGUUGGAUGUGAAAGCCCCGGGCUCAACCUGGGAACUGCAUCCAAAACUGGCAAGCUAGAGUACGGUAGAGGGGGGUGGAAUUUCCUGUGUAGCGGUGAAAUGCGUAGAUAUAGGAAGGAACACCAGUGGCGAAGGCGACCACCUGGACUGAUACUGACACUGAGGUGCGAAAGCGUGGGGAGCAAACA